AUCUACUAUUUGCCUUGAAAUAGUUACUUUUAUAGACUUGUUUUGUAUUAAAAAUUUCCUAGUUAUAAACUGCUUUCAAUAUGGCGAAAUUUAAUGAAAAUUUGCCCAUAGAAUUAGAUGAAAAAUUGCCAGAAAUCAUAGAAGAAAAUUUGCCAAAAACCAUAGAAGAAACUUUGCCAAAAACCAUAGAAGAAAAUUUGAUUGAAUUAAAUGAAAUAAGUGCCGGAAGCACCACCGAUAAGGAAUCAAAUAAUUUCGAUCAAAUCGAGAAACUUGUGAGCCAAAGCUUGGAGAACCUACAGUCAAUCACGCAAUCCGAUGCCACGAAUCAGGGCUCGAUCAUGAGCUUCGUCUUUCCAAAUGUCAUGUCACACCUGCGGAGAAGCUGCACAAAUAUUUUGAACAAGAUAGAGCGGGAUAGUGCCCACGAGGCGGCGACCCAGGCUCCCAAAGAGGAACCAAAGAUCGAUCAAGGUCUGAAGGAGAGCAGGCUGUGAUACGACAAUUCCUACGCUCAAUUUCUUAAAAAAAGAAAGGAAAGGAAAGCGUAGAGAGAAAGCAAUUCGGCUUUUGUGGCUUUUAGGGCUGAUUGUAAAAGAUGCCACAAACAAAUGAAGUUGUCACCGGCUGCUGCUGCCAGCAGGCAGACCGCGAAAAGUCGCAUCGCAAAAUGGAAAGUUGAGGCAAGUGGACCUGCAACAGCAGCAGCAUUCCACCUAACGAAUAGUCUUUAAUCUUCUUAAGUGCGAUGGCCAUGGGCUAUGGGCACAGCUGCUGCUGUUGCCACUGGUGCGGGACCGGGACCGGACCUGUCAUCGAAGGACAACGAGAGUGUGAGAGUUUGCCAAUUUCCUUCUCUCUCUCUCUCUCUUUCUGUGGUUUGUGUGUGCGUCAACAGGAAGAGAAAUAAACCGAAAGUAAAGCGAUUUUAAGGUACAGGAAUUGAUUGAUUGCCACGAAAUCGGACCCACAAAUACACCUGGGAGCCCCAUGGGGCUUUCGGGGGCGGAAUCAUCAGCAGUAAUUUACAUCUUUGGCUGUUUUUUGCACUGAAAUCCGUUGCUGGUUUCUGGUUUCUGGCAGCAAAUUAGCGUAGGGCCAAGACUAAUUCGAAGAACUUGCCCGUUUUGUACGGGGUACUCGCUGUAGUACCAGGGUAUAUUGUUUUUGAAUUAAGCAGGCCAAAAGAAGGGAUGUUUUUGGAAUAAAGGAUGGAGGGGAAAAAUAUAGCAACUGGUUGUCGGAGACUGCACUCAGAGAAAAAU